rnacentral:rRNA from 1 species
AGAGUUUGAUCCUGGCUCAGAAUCAACGCUGGCGGCGCGCUUAACACAUGCAAGUCGCACGAGAAAGGGAGCAAUCCUAAGUAAAGUGGCGUACGGGUGAGUAACACGUGGAUAAUCUACCUCUUGGUGGGGAAUACCUCCUGGAAACGGGAGACAAUACCGCAUAAGCUGCCCUUUUUAAUAAAGGGACAGGAAAGCAGCAAUGCGCCGAGAGAGGAGUCCGCGGCCGAUUAGCUAGUUGGCGGGGUAACGGCCCACCAAGGCGAAGAUCGGUAGCCGGCCUGAGAGGGCACACGGCCACACUGGCACUGAAACACGGGCCAGACUCCUACGGGAGGCAGCAGUGGGGAAUCUUGCACAAUGGGGGAAACCCUGAUGCAGCGACGCCGCGUGAGCGAUGAAGCCCUUCGGGGUGUAAAGCUC